rnacentral:rRNA from 1 species
UGAAUACGAGACGCUAAGGCGUCGAAGUAGUGUAUGUCAUACUUCCAAGAAAAGCUUGCACUGUCAUAGAUAAAAAACGCCUGUACCAUAACCGACACAGGUGGGUAGGUAGAGUAUACUAAGGGGCGCGAGAUAACUCUCUCUAAGGAACUCGGCAAAAUAACUCCGUAACUUCGGGAGAAGGAGUGCCUUAUUUAUAAGGCUGCAAUAACAAGAUCCAAGCAACUGUUUAUCAAAAACACAGGUCUCCGCUAAGUCGUAAGACGAUGUAUGGGGGCUGACGCCUGCCCAGUGCCAGAAGGUUAAAGAAGUUGGUUAGCUUUUGCGAAGCUGAUAACUGAAGCCCUGGUGAACGGCGGCCGUAACAAUAACGGUCCUAAGGUAGCGAAAUUCCUUGUCGGGUAAGUUCCGACCCGCACGAAAGGCGUAAUGAUUUGGAUACUGUCUCGGAGAGGGGCUCGGUGAAAUAGACUUGUCUGUGAAGAUGCGGACUACCUGCACCAGGACAGAAAGACCCUAUGAAGCUUUACUGUAACUUGAAAUUGAAAUUGGACUUUAUUCGCGCAGCAUAGGUGGGAGGCGUUGAUUAUAAUCUCGUGGGAUUAUUGGAGCCAUCAGUGAGAUACCACUCUUGUAAUGUUAGAUUUCUAACUUUGAAUCAUUAUCUGGUCAAAGAACAGUUUCAGGCGGGCAGUUUGACUGGGGCGGUCGCCUCCUAAACGGUAACGGAGGCGUACAAAGGUUUCCUCUGAACGGUUAGAAAUCGUAUCUAGAGUGUAAAGGCAUAAGGAAGCUUGACUGUGAGACCUACUAGUCGAGCAGGGACGAAAGUCGGUCUUAGUGAUCUGACGGUACUGAGUGGAAAGGCCGUCACUCAACGGAUAAAAGUUACUCUAGGAUAACAGGCUGAUCUCCCCCAAGAGUUCACAUCGACGGGGAGGUUUGGCACCUCGAUGUCGGCUCAUCGCAUCCUGGGGCGGUAGUACGUACCAAGGGUUGGGCUGUUCGCCCAUGAAAGCGGUACGCGAGCUGGGUUCAGAACGUCGUGAGACAGUUCGGUCCAUAUCCGGUGUAGGCGUUAGAAUAUUGAGAGGAGCCUUCUUUAGUACGAGAGGACCGAGAAGGACAUACCUCUGGUGUACCAGUUAUCGUGCCAACGGUAAACGCUGGGUAGCUAUGUAUGGAGUGGAUAACCGCUGAAAGCAUCUAAGUGGGAAGCCCACCUCAAGAUAAGUAUUCUCAUC